CCCACUUAAAGCUACAUCUACUUUCACGAUGAAGAAGACUCAAUUUGUGCAAGGAGACAAAGCCAUAGGUAGGCUAGAGGCAGAGGAGAUCAUCCGGAAUUACUGAGCCGAGGACGUUAUCCAAGCUUGUCUCAAACAUUCUUCGUUCUUAGGUUGUCUCGCUGUCUCAAGAUUGAGAUCGGGGGUUGCGAUGGGGGACUGGUGGUUGUGCCUGGCUUGGUGUCGAUCGGAGGUUGGGAUGAGUUGGCGGCUGGGUUGAAGGGAAGGGGGUUGAGGUGGGUUGGUGCGGCUAGGGUGAGGAAGGAAGAAGUUGACGAUUCAACGGUGAGGGGGAAGGAUUGACAACAACGAUAUCAGGGUGGGGUGCGGGUGGGGAAGAUGGUGGCUUGGGGUAGCAAAUUAAGAAACCCAGGUCUGUGGUGUGAGUAGAGAAGGGUAGUCAUGGUCGCCAUGUUUGAAGAAGAAAAUGGGGAUUGUAGUCGAUGAGGAUUGAGAAUUAAAGCUGCAUCUAGUUGUUUAAUUUAAUUAGAUGAAGAUUGAGGAUUAAACCUGCGUCUAAUUGUUUUUGUUCAAUAGCUUUUAAUUCUUAAUUUAAUCAUUUUGAAUUUAAUUUUAAUGAUUUUAAAAUAGUUUUUAUAAAGCUUUUAAUAAUUUAU
rnacentral:lncRNA from 1 species